AAACAUACAAGACAUUAGAUGCGACAGCAACAACAAAAAGCUCAUUUACUAAGACAAAAGUUAACAAUAGGUAUCGAACAUAUACGUUGCAUACAAUUACAGAUACAGAACCAAUCUUUAAGAAACUUGGGCUGUUGAUGCCAUUACUGCCUUAUAGGCUUAACCAUAUUGCUAUCAACCAGCAGGAUUUGGCUUUCAUAUGAGUUGCCAAUCCAAAAUGGUGAACUCAGUAUUUGUAAAUAUAUGUAUGCACAUGCCAAUAACAUGUUUUCUAACAUGCAAACCAAGAUGGCAUAUUGAAAAAAGAUUUCAACCAAACAAAUACAUUUCUCCUCAUCCAACAUUUCUCUAGUCAUUCAUAUCAUGGUAGAACAAAUCAUCAUCAAUGUUAGAACUCAGACAAACAUACAAGAAGUUUAGAUGCAACAAUAACUAAAAGCACAUUUACUGGUAAAAGUAUCAUGUAAACCCCAUUACUAGAACUCAGAUUGCAUUUUGACCCAUAUACUAAAAAAUGAAAAAAUUAAUCUCUAUAUGUUAGAUUAAAGAACAAAUUGGUCCUUUUAUUAAAAAUUCCAUUCAUUUUUACUAUUAAAAACUUGUCCUUAUACAUCAGUAUAAGGUACACGUGGCAUGCUAUAUGUUAUUGUUUGAUUAUUCUGUCAAAUCUCAAUACUAGAAGUCAAAUUGUAUUUUGACUUAUAUACGAAAAAAAUAAGCACUGUAUGUUACAUCAAAGAACAAACUAGUCCUUCUAUUAAAACUUCAAUUCAUUUUUACUAUUAAAAACUUGUCCAUAUACAUCAAGUACAAGUAGCAUAUCGUAUGUUAUUAUCUGAUUAUUCUAUUAGCCACAUCAGUUUUAAAAUUUUUUAAAGAAAAGAUCAAUAUGCUCUUGAUCUAAUGUAAAUCCACUAAUUUAUCCAUUUUUUAGUAGAGAAAGCAAAAUGCAAUUUAACUAGCUGUAAUUUUGCACUCAUUUAUUCAUUGGGAUCCUUUACAAUUUCCACCAUUCAUGUUAUGUAGAAGACUAGGAUAAAAGAUAAAUAAAAGGUUUGAGUUAAGCCAAUCCAUUUGUUAUCCCAUCAAAACAUACUUUUGUACAAAAAAAUGCAAGCAAUAAAACAAGAUAUGAUAAACAAGUAAACUUUGCAACUAAGAAUCCAACAUUCAUUACUAAUUAUAGAAUCUAUGUUAGCAACACAUCAAGUAAGCAGAAUGAACAGAAAAAGCAAAGACUAACACUGUAAUAAUGGACCUUCCAAAUCUCUAUGUGUCUAUGGUAUUCCCAAGUCCAAAUGAGAAAUGUUCACGAACAGGUGAAAACUCCACUAAUCCAAUAUCCAUUGCAUACCCAGAAACAGGCAAUUUCAACUCUCUCAACACACAAAAAGCCUCAGCCAUUCUUGUUUUAGGCACUUCUUGAGCUACGGGACAAUAAGGGAUCCAAGCAUCAGCUUUAAACUCUUCCCCAAUUUCAAUCCCUUCUUUUUUAAUUGCCUCACAUACCUGAGCCUGGAAUUGUAGGAGCGACAUUGUUGGAGCUGGUGAAAGGAAGAGAACAUUGUUUUCAUUUGGGAAAGCCCCAAUUGAAGAAAAAGAAAGAGGUAAAGGUUCUUGCUUUGAAGCAAAGGACUUUAUAAAGGAUUCAAGCUUUGCAGGAUCGAGAAAAGGGCUUGAAAAGAGAGUAAUGUGAGGCCUUGAUUCGAUUUCAAUUAACUGAGUGCUGAUUUGACGACGAGCCAAAACAUUCCAAGCUUUUAAGACCUGGUUCUCAAGUGCUGGAUCGAAGUAAAGCUCAAUUGAGAAACCUUGUGACAUUGAAAACCUUUUUUUUUUUUUUUACGAUAACAAAAAAGGAUACCAAAAUUUUAAAAAGGGGAGAUCUAAGAGUACCCAGACAAUGAAAAUUGGAACUUGAUGGAUAAUUAGGGAUACCCAGGGAGGGGGGAAAUUCAAAACCCUAGAAAGAACAUGGGAAUUAAAGAUGCCCAAAUUGGAUUUGGUAUUGUGAAGGCCAAAGAAGAAGGAACAAAGUGAAAAGAAAUAAAGGAAUUUUAUGUUGUUCUUUCACCUCUUUCGGCCGAAGAUAGAUAAUAAAGAGGGGGAACUUUGUAUGGGCAUUUUGGAGUAUCCAUCGCCGUCCAUGCGGCUCGCUCAUAAAAGAGGAAAAUUUUCUAAAAU
rnacentral:lncRNA from 1 species